CAAGCCGGGGUGGGGGGAAUCUUUGCGCUUUUUGUGUGUGUGGUUUUUGUUUGUUCGUUUGUUUUUACCACAAGACGAGCUAUUCCAGCAGCAUAAAGUACUUGGUGCUAGUUAUACUGAAUGUUACUGUAUGGAACGCCUAGUCCAAGAAUAGCGAUAUCACCGUAGGACCUGUUUUCCGCAGCUUUCCUCGUUUCACUUCCCUCGUGCGCUCAACUGGUCAGCAGCAUGCCUUCUACGGGGGACACCUCAAAACUUUUCAUGGUCCUCAUUUUGUUGCUGCUUGUUCUGCCAGCGGUUGAAGCCAUGGACGCUGGAGAUACAAUUGCCUUCCUGCUGGGCCUCGCUGUCAGCAUUGUUGGAUUCUGUGCCUGUCUUGGCUUGUAUGCAAGGAAAAGAAAUGGACAGCAAUGAUUUCUAGAAGAUGCGCAAAUUAAGUGUAACUCAAAACUCUGCUAGGGUUGAGAUAUGGGGUUUAAAACUGAGCUUUGGUUUUGGAUAACUUUCAAAAAUGUGGAGUAGAUAAUUCUGCAAAGCCCUCUUACUGUGCAAUACAACAGAAUAAAGGCUGUUUGCCCAGUAAAAGGGAUUUGUAGGAUCCGUCCUCAUGACAGUAGGAUGAUUUCAUAUUGCCUGUGAUUAAUUGUAAGUAAGAACUUUUUGAAAGGGGAAGGAAAAUCAUAGACUGGUUCACAGCAAAUGUUUAUAAAUGGAAUGUGUGAGGGAGCCCGUGCAACAAGUUCCACAAUUUUGGUUUCAGGGUCAGUCAGGAGGAAGCAACUAUUAAUCUUCCAAUCAGGAUGACAAGGCUUUGGAGUACUGAAGUACUUACAAUUAGAUAAGUAAAGAGCAUGCUGCUCAGACCUGUUUGUGUGUGCUCACAUUCUUUGUAAUGACAGUUAGAACAAACCGCUAACAGCUCACUCUUGGUGUUACAGGGAUGAGACUUGGGAGAACUAAGAAAACAUGGAAAGCUUUUUACUUUGGUAUUUUUAUUUUAGAAUGUGCCUCUUCUGUAGCCUCUGUUCUUGUUACAAAAUAGUUGCACUUAAGAAUGGGACCGUGAUUUUCCUUUAACAUGUAUUGCAUAGGAGAGUAUAUGUAAAACUACAUAAAUCAAAAGAGGAAGGCAUUUUAUCUCUUUUGUUUAUUUUCUGUAUUCAACUUUCAUAUAAGCACACGAGGUCUAAGGGUUAGUUCAUUUGGUGUUUUUUGGUUUUUUUUCUCAAAACUGAAGACUUAGCUAUUUUACUAAGGUAUUAUGUGUGUUAUUUCUGCAGUAGGGGGUUAUUAGAAUUAUAACAAGGCAGUUAUGCACAUGUUCAAUAUGGUAAAUAAAUAAAACAACUUGUUUGGGUAAAAUCCUGAUUUUAGUGAAGAGGUCCCUGGUACUUGAAUGUCUUCCUCAUGACAAACUUAAGUUGUUAACUACAUUUAGGCUUCUUAUCUAAUUGAUAUGUCUGAGUUCCAUGGAAGAUUAGGACCAAAGACAAAGUAAAAAAUCAUGAUGCAAAAUGGGAGGCUCUUAAUAGCCUUGUUAUAUUCAUGCUCAGUCAGAUUGUCUGGCAUGAGCUGAUUUUGAUUUUAUGCUAUGUGGUUGAAAGGAUCUGCCUACUUAGUAGCAUGUCCAGGACCUGCUUCUUUUAGCACCAAAGGGGAAAUGGCACAGCCAAGAGUGUCUGUCUACCACAAAUCCUUCUGACUUCUUGGGGUGUUCUAGCUGUCAGUUUGAUAAAAGGAUCACAGUCUGUAAAAGCAAGUAAGUAGCAGCAGCAGAAUAAGGAGCCUAGGAAAGUAAGCUCUCCACAGUCCACAGAAUUUCCUUCUGAUCUUGUGCUGUGGGCACUGCACACUCAUGCUAGAAAUCUUCACUUUUAUAAGUUUCAGAGCUGGGGAAGAAGGUUAGAUAUGAUGCCAAAUAAUGUAUUUUGAUACUAUUUCCCCCCACCCUUUUCCCUAAGCGUCUCGGUCAUUAGAGCGCAAAGCAAUGGCUGAAACUCUUGUCCAGUAGGUCUUAAAUAAGUAAUUGGGGGGGAGGGAGGAGAUUGUAUUUGGACUUCCUCAAAUUCUAAGAUUUCUGUCUGUCAUUUGUAGCUGUUUUGGCUUCUCCCUCCAUCUUCUGGGGAGACAGAAGCCAUGGUUGUUUCAGCUCUGCAAUUUCUCUAAAUUACCAUGGCUGAUGGAGGAAGGUAAAUGGAGAGCUUCCAAAAUGUUGUGCGGUUGAAAGUGCAGGGCUCAACCCAUUUCCAUAAGAAUGUAGGUUGUGCUUCUCUGUUCCUGCUUCUCGAGCUGUAGGAAGUAUAGAGGUCCCAUGUUAGCCUUGCCAGGUAGCUGUCUGGAACCUUUUUGUGGCUUCCCCAAGCCAGAACAGGACAGUUGUUAUAGUGACAGAAAUUUACAGCCCUAAAAGGAGCUUCAAAGGGUAGGAGAAUGUCUCACCUUCAAAGGUUGCCCAGCAGCUAUAGGUGAAUCUAGAUGUGAUUAUUCUACGGGAUGGAUGCAAGCAUUGAAUGAAGAGAAGUACAUAUCGAGUAUGGCUUUCCAUCACCUGACCUUCUCAGCUCUUCUCAAACAUCUUUAUCUUCACUUUGGAAAAGAUCCCUGGUAAUAGUUGCACAGAAUUGUGCAAUGGCUUCACCCUAUAAAGCAGGAGAACAAAACCUUAUCACCCUAAUUAGUGUCAAGCUAUAGGGAUGUCAGCUGUGUUCCUUGCCUGAAGCUGUAUAUAUCUUAUUGAAAGGUGUUUGCACCCCAUAACGGUGUGUUUCCUGGGUUCUGACAGAAGUGAUUGUAUUGUUAAAGGCUUACAUUUUUUGAUAACUAAAAAGAAGUGUAACAUUAGAUAUCCCUGUUUUUCUUCUGUUUUAAUAAAUUUCCAUGUGUUUUGUCAUCA